UAGGGAAUCUUCGGCAAUGGACGAAAGUCGGACCGAGCAACGCCGCGUGAGUGAAGAAGGUUUUCGGAUCGUAAAACUCCGUUGUUAGAGAAGAACAAGGACGUUAGUAACUGAACGUCCCCUGACGGUAGCUAACCAGAAAGCCACGGCUAACUACGUGCCAGCAGCCGCGGUAAUACGUAGGUGGCAAGCGUUGUCCGGAUUUAUUGGGCGUAAAGCGAGCGCAGGCGGUUUCUUAAGUCUGAUGUGAAAGCCCCCGGCUCAACCGGGGAGGGUCAUUGGAAACUGGGAGAGUGGAGUGCAGAGGAGGGGAGUGUAAUUCCAUGUGUAGCGGUAAAAUGCGUGGAUAGAUGGAGGAACACCAGUGACGAAGGCGGCUCUCUGGUCAGUAACUGACGCUGAGGCACGAAGGCGUGGGGAGCAAACAGA
rnacentral:rRNA from 1 species